UUACAGGGAGAUAACUCUUGCGAAUCACCAAAGCGUUUGAAACAGGCGACUUUAAACCAGCGAUGCUAAGCAUCUCGGUAACGAAUUUCCUCUGUCAUACUUGAUGUUUGUUGUCACUUAUUGUUAGGACUAAAAACAAAGGACGUUUUAAGGAGAAAGUCUUAUAACAAAUCAAAGCAUAGGAAUCUUAAAAGCCUUUGAGAUUAGCGUGAUGCAUGUGGAUGAACCAAUAAAGGAGGACUUGUUUAUUUUCGAUACGGAAUGUGGCAUUGAAGUUGUAGGCCAUUCCGAUCAGAAGAAAGUUAUCGACGCAUUGUGCUGUUGUGUGUUUCUCGCUUCACCACUACACUAAAAUUUUAAGUGAGAAUGGGAAGGAAAAAAGAAAAGACCUGAGAGUAUCCUGUAAAGUAUUAUGCUUUAUGCAGUCCGAACAGGGAAGAAAAGUCACGGUGCAUUUGACCAUGUCCAAUGAUGAUGUUGACAGUUUGAUUGUUGAUAGUAUUUUCAUCAGAUCAAUUGGGUCAUUAAUUGGAAUAGAUAAGAACAAAAAAAGUACAUGUACUUCAGUGUUUCCUUAAAAGAUUUGUGCCAUCAAUCAAAGUAGAGGUCAUCCCAUAUCAGCUCAAGAAUAUUAAAGAAAGUUGGAUGGAUCAAGCUAAGAUGUUGAACCAGACAUGGCAAAGUCAAUGGAGAUUUGGAAAAGAAAUGAUGUUUUGUUGUACCCAAUGCAUAUUUUUAAUAUGUCUAUAGAUUAUAGAAAAAAAUUUAAUGUUUAACAGCAUCCUAUCUACCUGGUAGUAUAUACAUGCUGUUUUCAAUAUAUUUAGAAAAUAUGUGUAUGUGAUGAUUGCAGUGCAUGCUCUAUUUGUCCAUCUUUGAAUUUGUUUUCAGUAAAAUAAAUGUAUACAUUAAGGUAUUAAUUGAAGGUUGCUUUUGUCUACACUUACAAGUAACAAGUUUCUUAAAAGGGUUAUUUUGUAAAAUUGCAAGGAAAUUAAUACAUGAACAAUUAAAUUUAAUAUUUUUAUUCAUUAAAUUUUUUCUUACCAGGACCUAAUAUGCUCAAAUAAGUAUUUCUGAAAACUGAAGAGUUUUGUAAAUAAAGCUGCAGUGAACAUUUAACAGUUUAAAAUAUGACACUUGGAAAUUGAAAGGUUGUUAAUUUAGUAGGAAUGAUAAGACCAGUUUAGUAAUCAACUAAAAUUAAAAUCUUUCACAAAUACAUGUAGUUUAUUUUAAAAUUGUUUACAUUUAUAAUCUUUUAAUUUUUUUCUGAAUUUUGAUUUUAAAAAGGAGAAAAAAAUUUUAUAUUUAAAUUAUUAUUUCAUGGAUAUCAAGGAGAUAUAUCUAUCACUGUAACAUUGUUUCUUUUUCCCUGUUCUUGACAAAUAUUUAUGACAGUGUUAUGUCAUUUUGCAGAAUUUGCCUUUUCUCUGAAAUCAGAAGUACUCUGUAAACUCAUUAAAGUAUGAAUUGAAGUCACUUAGAAUUCAUCUUUAUUUUGUUCUGUCUGAUAUUUCAAUUUAGAUUCUCAGACUACCUAAUCCAAUGAUUGAGCUAAUGUCCAUGAAGUGUAGAAAUAGGCCGUCUUUAAGAUAUGUUUGGUUGUCUGCCUCUCCAGACCGACUGACUAAAAUGACCAGACUGAAAUUUUUUUUUCAACGCAGGGCCAUAUUUUUUCUUUUUAUUCCUCUUAUUCCCCGUAAAGAAAUGUUGUUGAAGAUUUUCUCACCUACCGACCCAAUAAUUUUACCCAGAGUCAAGAGAGGGCAAACAAACAUUACUUUCA